ACGGUGGGUAACCCUGCCCCAUAACGGAGGGGAUAACUAUACGGAACGGGUGCUAAUACCGCAUAGUUUUCUUGAUCGCAUGAUUGAGAAAGGAAAGACGGCCUUUGUGCUGUCGCUUAUGGAUGGACCCGCGGCGUAUUAGUUAGUUGGUGAGGUAACGGCUCACCAAGACGAUGAUACGUAGCCGACCUGAGAGGGUGAUCGGCCACAUUGGGACUGAGACACGGCCCAAACUCCUACGGGAGGCAGCAGUAGGGAAUCUUCCGCAAUGGACGAAAGUCUGACGGAGCAACGCCGCGUGAGUGAAGAAAGGUUUUCGGAUCGUAAAACUCUGUUGUCAGAGAAGAACAAGUUGGAGAGUAACUGCUCCAGCCUUGACGGUAUCUGACCAGAAAGCCACGGCUAACUACGUGCCAGCCGCUGC
rnacentral:rRNA from 1 species